rnacentral:rRNA from 1 species
UGGGGAAUCUUGCACAAUGGGGGCAACCCUGAUGCAGCGACGCCGCGUGAGCGAUGAAGGUUUUCGAAUCGUAAAGCUCUGUCCUAUGGGAAGAUAAUGACGGUACCAUAGGCGGAAGCCCCUGCUAACUACGUGCCAGCAGACGCGGUAAUACGUAGGGGGCGAGCGUUGUCCGGAAUUACUGGGCGUAAAGGGUUCGCAGGCGGCAUGGCAAGUCCGAUGUAAAAGGCGAAGGCUCAACCUUCGUAAGCAUCGGAAACUGUCAAGCUUGAGUGAAGGAGAGGCAAGUGGAAUUCCUAGUGGAGCGGUGGAAUGCGUAGAUAUUAGGAGGAAUAACGGUGGCGAAGGCGACUUGCUGGACUUCAACUGACGCUGAGGAACGAAAGCGUGGGUAGCAAACAGG